GUCAGGGGGCAAAUGUGCAUUUAAAUUUCGCUGAAAAUUUCGCGCCAAACGCAUCUUGCUAGAAACAUAAACAAGGUUAUGAAAAGAGAAGAUUCAGUAGGACAAUAUCAUACAAUACACUGAGAGUCCAUGCUGUUACACAGAAACCUUCUCCAGUGCUUGGGAGAGGUAGCUAGGCCUCAGUCCGGAGGGUUAUCUGUAGUCAGCCG